rnacentral:rRNA from 1 species
GGUUGAUCCUGCCAGUAACAUAUGCUUGUCUCAAAGAUUAAGCCAUGCAUGUCUAAGUAUAAACAACUUUAUACUGUGAAACUGCGUACAGCUCAUUAAAUCAGUCAUUAUUUAUUUGAUGGUUUCUUACUAACAUGGAUACCCGUAGUAAUUCUAGAGCUAAUACAUGCAAAAAAUCCCGACGCAAGAAGGGAUGUAUUUAUUAGAUAAAAAACCAAUGCACUUCGGUGCUGUUUGGUGAUUCAUAAUAACUGAUCGAAUCGCAUGGCCCUGCGCUGGCGAUAGUUCAUUC